AUGGCCUGCUGCUGAACAUGGCAGAACAAUGUAUACAAUCCGGCAGAGAAUUGGCCCAUUGCUCAUGAGAAUGGAGAAAAGAUAUGGAAAGAUGGAGAGUAUGACAGGUGAGUUGUCAGAAAAGGAAAUUAUUCGACAAGAAAGGAAUGCUGGUUUCAUUAGUGACAGGGUGAGAGAGAUUCAGGUG